GAUGGGAAACAGGUUAAUAUUCCUGUACUUGGUGUUACUGCGAAGGGGGGACGGAGAAGGCUAGGCUAGCCGGGCGACGGUUGUCCCGGUUUAAGCGUGUAGGGGGUGUGACCUGGUAAAUCCGGUUACAUAUCAACCCUGAGGCGUGAUGACGAUGCACUACGGUGCAGAAGUAGUUGAUGCCCUGCUUCCAGGAAAAGCCUCUAAGCUCCAGGUAACAUUAAAUCGUACCCCAAACCGACACAGGUGGUCAGGUAGAGAAUACCAAGGCGCUUGAGAGAACUCGGGUGAAGGAACUAGGCAAAAUGGUGCCGUAACUUCGGGAGAAGGCACGCUGGCAUGUAGGUGAA
rnacentral:rRNA from 1 species